rnacentral:rRNA from 1 species
GACGAACGCUGGCGGCGUGCUUAACACAUGCAAGUCGAACGAAGAGCGAUGGAAGCUUGCUUCUAUCAAUCUUAGUGGCGAACGGGUGAGUAACGCGUAAUCAACCUGCCCUUCAGAGGGGGACAACAGUUGGAAACGACUGCUAAUACCGCAUACGAUCUAAUCUCGGCAUCGAGGAUAGAUGAAAGGUGGCCUCUACAUGUAAGCUAUCACUGAAGGAGGGGAUUGCGUCUGAUUAGCUAGUUGGAGGGGUAACGGCCCACCAAGGCGAUGAUCAGUAGCCGGUCUGGGAGGAUGAACGGCCACAGUGGGACUGAGACACGGCCCAGACUCCUACGGGAGGCAGCAGUGGGGAAUCUUCCGCAAUGGACGAAAGUCUGACGGAGCAACGCCGCGUGAGUGAUGACGGCCGUCGGGUUGUGAAGCUCUGUUAAUCGGGACGAAAGGCCUUCUUGCGAAUAGUGAGAAGGAUUGACGGUACCGGAAUAGAAAGCCACGGCUAACUACGUG